CCCUUAGAUGUCCUGGGCCGCACGCGCGCUACACUGAGUGUCUGAGAUACGAGUCUGCCUGGUCCGGCAAGGUCUAGGUAAUCGCUAAAAGACACAUCAUGCUUGGGAUAGAUUAUUGCAAAUAUUAAUCUUGACCGAGGAAUUCCUAGUAAGCGCAAGUCAACAGCUUGCGUUGAUUACGUCCCUGCCCUUUGUACACACCGCCCGUCGCUACUACUGAUUGGAUGUUUAAGCGAGGUUCUCGAACUGCUAGCGACUUAGCUUCGGUGAGGUCGCAGUGUGGGAAGUGAACCUAGCUUUGGUGUCUAGAGGAAGUAAAAGUCGUAACA
rnacentral:rRNA from 1 species